ensembl:lncRNA
UUCUCUCUCUCUAUUCUCUCUCUAUUCUCUCUCUAUUCUCUCUCUCUAUUCUCUCUCUCUAUUCUCUCUCUAUUCUCUCUCUCUAUUCUCUCUCUAUUCUCUCUCUCUAUUCUCUCUCUAUUCUCUCUCUUUAUUCUCUCUAUUCUCUCUCUCUAUUCUCUCUAUUCUCUCUCUCUAUUCUCUCUUGUUGAGAGUGUUAGAGUGAAACAGUAGAGGAGUGUAAACUCUGUGAUGAAGAUGUUGAAAAUGUAAAGUUUCAGCUUCACCUCUGACUGUUACACAGCGCUGACACUGGAGACUCCUUCCUACACACGUUAUCAACGAUUACAUACGUUUUUUGAUCAGUUUAUGUGGAGCAUCCGUUCGCUGUGAACGAGCCGUUACUAUAGAAACGAUAACGUAUCAGCACGAGCGCAUUAAUAUAAACCUGCGCUACUAUCUGAUCUGCUGUUAUAGAGAACUAAUCACCACCUUCUGACCAAUCAGGAUCCAGAACUCUGCAGCGCCGUGGUGUAAAUGGAGCUAAAGAGAAAACAGGGUGUUUGGUAUCUAUUUGAAAAUAAAUGUUGGUGUAAGAAGAAGGUUUGGUUUGUGCUGAUGAGACUGAACUCUACAGCAGGGUUCAGUGUGUGUGAUUCUCUCGCCCUGCGUUUAUGCGCGUGUUUAGACCGAGCAGAACGGCGGCACGCUUUCAAUUACACGCUUGGUUUAGUGUGUACUACAGCAAUUACGCAUCAGGAUGGAGCAAGAUGGAGGCUGUUGGUCUAAAGCUGCGUUUAAACGCGACACAGCUCGCCAUUUUUACGUCUCAAAUUGCUUUUCGCACUUGGCUGCUUGGAGCGUCUUUAGCCAUUUUUUUUAAUCUAUGUCUAUCACACACACACACACACACACACACACACACACACACACACACACACACAGAUGUUAGCUAAUGCAUGACGUGAUCUACACGGAGCUCUGCUUUAUUCUAAAGCCCAUUAUCAGCCUCAGGUGAACAGACGAGUCACGCUCAUCAUAACCCAGUCUACACCAGAGUAAUAGAGCCACUUAUCAUGUGUGUGUGUGUGUGUGUGUGUGUGUGUGUGUGUGUGUGUGUGUGUGUGCGUGUGUGUGUGUGUGCUGAGUGCUGGUGUGUAUAAAAGCAUUUCCAUACGUAUGAAGGACAGAAAGAAGGAAAGAAAGAAUAUCAAUUAUAGAAAGAAUAAAGUCAUUGUUAAUAAAUCUCGUCCCUCUGUCACUUCCAGCACAACAAUUCCUUCUGAAAAUUUAGAUCAGAUGUGUGUGUGUGUGUGUGUGUGUGUGUGUGUGUGUGUGUGUGCACCAGGUGUAGGAGGUGUUCAGGAAGGCGAGCUGCAGUGGGCGUGGUCAGUGAGACAUGUGUGUGUGUGUGUGUGUGUGUGUGUGUGUGUGUGUGUGUGUGCACCAGGUGUAGGAGGUGUUCAGGAAGGCGAGCUGCAGUGGGCGUGGUCAGUGAGACGUGUGUGUGUGUGUGUGUGUGUGUGUGUGUGCACCAGGUGUAGGAGGUGUCCAGGAAGGCGAGCUGCAGUGGGCGUGGUCAGUGAGAUGAGUGUGUGUGUGUGUGUGUGUGUGUGUGUGUGUGCACCAGGUGUAGGAGGUAUCCAGGAAGGCGAGCUGCAGUGGGCGUGGUCAGUGAAAUGAGUGUGUGUGUGUGUGUGUGUGUGUGUGCACCAGGUGUAGGAGGUGUCCAGGAAGGCGAGCUGCAGUGGGCGUGGUCAGUGAGACGGGCGUGCGUGAGCAGAGCGUCACUGAGACGCCGUCCGUCAGCCCGCAGGUAACACUGUGUUGGAGAAUAAUGAGGCGAUUUCACGGCAUGGAGAAGAUUUUAAUAACGUUCUCAUCCAGAAUGAUGUUCUUAAGGAGCAGGUUCCCUGAGGAGAACGUGGCUCUACUGAGAUAAUGACAUCGCGUGUCGUUAAUUAUUAAACAAACGAUGUUCAUACGGUCGAGACGGUAACACGAGUAACUGUCACAGCACCGAUGAGAAGAGUAAGAAGAUAAAAUCGCGAUCCUGUCUUUUCUGGUUUAUUUCAUUAUAUAGUCACAUUAGUGAAUAAAAAGAACACAAAAUAAUGACUAUUCAGUAAAUUACAGCCGGGUCCAUAAGUAUUUGGACAGUGACCCACUUUUAGUCCUGUUGCCCCUGCACACCAGCCCAGUGGAUCUGAAAUGAAGCAGUCGAGAUGUGAGUGAAGUGUCGACUUUCAGCUUUAAUUUAAUAUCAUAUUAACCGUUUAGGAAGUACAAGAUAGUUUUUUUUUUUUUUCAGAUUCCCUACAUUUACCCCGGCUCUAAAGUAAUUGGACAAUCAUAAAUAUUAAGGUUAUAUUUAAUACUUGGAUGCAAAUCUUUCGCAGUCAAUGUCGGCCUGAAAUCCGGAACACGUGGACGUCAUUAAAUGCCGAGUUUCCUCCCUCGAGAUGUUUUUCGGGUCUUUACUGCAGUCGCUGCUGGUUUGUGGGUUUUUCUGCCUUCAGUUUUGUCUUCGGUAAGUGAAAAGCAGCUCAGGUGGGUUGAGGCCGUACGUUUUGGGUCGUUAUCCGUCUGGACCGUGAAGCUCCGUCCUGGAGCAGGAUUUGACUGAAUCUGAGCAGAAAGUAAAGCUGUAUACGCUUCAGAAUUCAUCCCGCUCCUUCUAUCAGCAGUCAGAUCAUCGAUAAACACCAGUGAGAGAGUUCCACUGGCAGCCGUACACGCCCGUGCCGUGACACUUCCUCCACCAUGUUGGACAGAUGAUGUGGUAUGCUUUGGAUCAUGAAUCCUUCCUUUCCUUCUCCAUACUCUUCUCUUCCCAUUAUUCUAGUACAAGUUCAUCUUGCAUCAGAUCUGGUCUAAUCUAACCUUUCCGUUGUGGAGUGAUACCAGAGGUUUGCAUCUUGAGGUAAAUCAUCUGUAUUUACAUUCAUGAAGGUGUCUCUUGAUUGUAGACUUUGAGAGAUACACCUACCUCCUCCAGAGUCUUCUUGACCUGGCUAGAUGUUCUGAAGGAGCUUUUCUUCAACAAGGAAAGAAUUCUGCGAUCAUUGACUUUAGUUGUCUUCGAUGGUCUUGCAGGUCUUUUAUUGCCGCUGAGCUCGCCAGUGCGUCGCUUCUUUUUACGAAUGAACCAGAUUGCUGACGUGGCCACUGCUAAAGCGCCUGAUCGGUCUGUUUUGUUUUUUGAGCCUAAUGAUGGCCUCCUGCACCUGCACCGACACCUCUUCGGACCGCAUAUUCAAAGCUCCCAUGAACAGCUACCAAAUGCUUGGAAUCAACUCCAGACCUUUUAUCUCCUCGAUCGGUCAGGAAAUAAUGAAGAGGCCGCACCCGGUCACGAAACCGCUUAUCAGUCAACUGUCCAAUUACUUUUGAGCCUGUGAAAACGGAGGGACUCUGUAAAAAACCUAAACGGUUAAUGCAGUAUUUUUGUUCCACCAUCUUCAAAUCCAUUUAUUUCCUCAGAAUAAACGCUUUUGAAUUAAACCUCAGAUUUCUCUCAUACUUCCAGGAGGAGGCUAAAACAUUUCUCAUAACCAUUUUUAUGCGUCUUUACCAAGGGUGCCAAUAUUUCUGGACCUUAUGGUGUGUGUGUGUGUGUGUGUGUGUGUGUGUGUGUGUGUGUGUGUGUGUAGUUCUAUUUGCUGCUGGACCACAGAGCGUGUAACGAUGAAAAGAUGCUCCACGUGGUCGGUUCUCAGAGAAGAGGAGUGUGUCCAUGCUGCUCCAGAGAAACAGAUGAGAGUGUUGUCUCUGAAGACACUGGGACUCAGAAAACACUUGUGGAUUUUGCAGACACACCGGAGUCAUGUAUGAAGCCCAGCGUUAAUCUGAUCUCUCUGGACGACUCACACACAUCAUCUCUGAUCUGAACAUCUGCUGCCUGUGUGUGUGUGUGUGUGUGUGUGUGUGUGUGUGUGUGUGUGUGUGUGUGUGUGUGUGUAAGCAGAGAUCUAAUGUGAGUGAUCAUUAGGGUUUGGGCUGUGCUGAUGUUUGAGGGUGUGAGGGUAUACUGUGAUAAAGACAUCUAAAUGAUCACUAAUGACAAACGCACAUCAGUAUCCAGAGCUCAGACAGAACUACAGACAUACAGUGAAUUCCAUUAAUAUUGGCACCCUUGGUAAAUAUGAGCAAAGUAGGCUGUGAAAAAUUGUCUUUAUUGUUUAACCUUCUGAUCUUUUGUUCAAAAUUCAUGCUCUCAUAGAUAUCAAACAAUCGCAAACACAACACAGGUUUAUGCAAAAAAUAAAAAUUCUUUGUUAAAUAUAGGUGUGCAACAAUUAUUGGCACUUCAGUGAAUUCAUGUGCGAAAAUAUAUUUGAAGUAUUGAUAUUCAUUGAUAUUUAAAAAAUAAUAAUAAUUAAUACACCUGGUGACUAGGAACAGGAAAGUGUUCAACCGUGACUUCCUGUUUCACAGGGGUAUAAAUAUGAGGUAACACACAGGCCAAAUUCCCUUAGUCAUUCAUAACAAUGGGUAAGAGCGAGGAAUGUAGCUGUGAUGUGCGGCAAAAGGUUGUUGAGCUUCACACAAUGGGGCGUGUCUAUAAGAAAAUAGCACAAGCAUUGAAAACGCCCAUUUCACCAUCAGGGCAAUAAUGAAGAAGUUCCAGUCCACUGGAAAUGUUAUGAAUGGACCUGGAACUGGACGUGUGUCUAUAUCGUCUCAACGCACUGUGAAGAGGACGGUUCGAGUGGAUAAAACAUCUCCAAGGGAUCACAGCUGGAGAACUGCAGAAGUUAGUUGUGUCUUGGGGUCAGAAAGUCUCCAAAACUACAAUCUGAAGUCACCGACAUCACCACAAGCUGUUUGGAAGGGUUUGAAGAAAAAAGCCUCUACUCUCAUCCAAAAACACACUCGAGCGUCUUCAGUGUGCCGACACUACUGGAACUUCAAAUGGGAUCGGGUUCUACGGUCAGAUGAAACCAGAAUAGAGCUUUUUGGUAAUAAACACAGAGGUGGUUUUGGAGCACACAGAGAGGUAGCCGUAUGGAAAAGUCCCUCAUGUCCCACGGUUAAAUAUGGAGGUGGAUCUUUAAUGUUUUGGGCUGUUUCUCUGCAGAGGACCUGGACAUUUUGUUAGGAUACAUGGCAUCAUGGACUCUAUCAAAUAUCAACAGAUAUUAAAUGAAAACCUGACUGCCUCUGACAGAAAGAUUCAAAUGGGCCGUGGUUGGAUCUUCCAGCAGGACAAUGAUCCAAAACAUCAUCAACAUCAACACAGAAAUGGUUUACUGACCACAAAAUCAAGAUCCUGCCCUGACCAUCCCAGUCCCCUGACCUGAACCCCAUAGAAAACCUGUGGGGUGAACUGAAGAGGAGAGUCCACCAGCGUGGACCUCCAAAUGUGAAGGAUCUGGAGAGAUUCUGUACGGAGGAACGCUCUCAGAUCCCUCACCAUGUAUUCUCCAACCUCAUCAGCGUUAUAGGAGAAGACUCAGAGCUGUUAUCUUUGUAAAGGGACGUAGCACAAAGUAUUGACUAAAAGGGUGCCGAUAAUUGCAAACACUUAUAUUUAACAAAGAUUUAAAAUAUAUAUAUAUAAACCUGUGUUGUGUUUGAAUGCUUUGAUGUCCAUGAGAGCAGAGUAUUUUUGUGAAUUUUUUAACAAAACAUCAAAGGUUAAACAAUAAAGACAAAUUUCCACAGCCUUCUUUACUCAUCUUUAUCAAGCGUGCCAAUAUUAAUGGAGGACGCUGUAAGCACUAUUCGAGAGUGGCACACAUGUGGGCGGAGUUUGUCUAAAACAGAGUUACGUGUCACUGUCUGACAGAUUGAUGUGACUGUAAUACGUCAGGCUGAAAGUUAUGUUUCGGAUGUAAACACACUCAAAAGCACAUUAUUAAAUACAUAACUAUGUAUAUGUUCAUGAGAUAAUCGUAUAUUCCCAUGAAAAAGUUUUUAUCCACAGAGAGAAAUUUGGGAAAAAGACGCAUCUCAAUUUUCAUCUUAAUCUCGAUGAGUGAACAUUUUAUGGCUAAAACACUAAACGCAAAGAAUUAACGUUUAAAACAUAUCAAAUCCCCUACAUCCUGCACACACACUAUGAUUUCAUGACCUCGAAGUAGCGUCUCAUGGCUUCAUUCAUUUGUGCGCUAGUAACUGUCGGAACACGGUAUAAUAACAUAUAAUAUAUAUAUAUAUAUAUA